AAGUUACGUUAAUACCGCAUAUUCUGUGAAGCAGGAAAGCAGGGGAUCUUCGGACCUUGUGCUUUAGGAGCGGCCGAUGUCGGAUUAGCUAGUUGGUGAGGUAAAGGCUCACCAAGGCGACGAUCCGUAGCGGGUCUGAGAGGAUGAUCCGCCACACUGGGACUGAGACACGGCCCAGACUCCUACGGGAGGCAGCAGUGGGGGAUUGUUCGCAAUGGGCGCAAGCCUGACGACGCAACGCCGCGUGGAGGAUGAAGAUCUUCGGGUCGUAAACUCCUUUCGAUCGAGACGAAUGGCCCUUGAAAUGGUACCCUGAGGGAGU
rnacentral:rRNA from 1 species